rnacentral:rRNA from 1 species
UUUUACCCAACCCGGGAUUGCCUUAGUAACGGCGAGUGAAGCGGCAAAAGCUCAAAUUUGAAAUCUGGUACCUUCGGUGCCCGAGUUGUAAUUUGGAGAGGGCAACUUUGGGGCCGUUCCUUGUCUAUGUUCCUUGGAACAGGACGUCAUAGAGGGUGAGAAUCCCGUGUGGCGAGGAGUGCGGUUCUUUGUAAAGUGCCUUCGAAGAGUCGAGUUGUUUGGGAAUGCAGCUCUAAGUGGGUGGUAAAUUCCAUCUAAAGCUAAAUAUUGGCGAGAGACCGAUAGCGAACAAGUACAGUGAUGGAAAGAUGAAAAGAACUUUGAAAAGAGAGUGAAAAAGUACGUGAAAUUGUUGAAAGGGAAGGGCAUUUGAUCAGACAUGGUGUUUUGUGCCCUCUGCUCCUUGUGGGUAGGGGAAUCUCGCAUUUCACUGGGCCAGCAUCAGUUUUGGUGGCAGGAUAAAUCCAUAGGAAUGUAGCUUGCCUCGGUAAGUAUUAUAGCCUGUGGGAAUACUGCCAGCUGGGACUGAGGACUGCGACGUAAGUCAAGGAUGCUGGCAUAAUGGUUAUAUGCCGCCCGUCUUGAAACACGGACCAA